rnacentral:tRNA from 1 species
GGAGAAUUGGUCGAGAGGCUUAUGACACCACCUUGGAAAGGUGGCGGGUCAGGUAACCCCUGGCCCCGUGGGUUCAAAUCCCACAUUCUCCUCCA